CAGUAGGGAAUAUUGGUCAAUGGAGGCAACUCUGAACCAGCCAUGCCGCGUGUAGGAAGAAGGCGUUCUGCGUUGUAAACUACUUUUGAUUGGGAACAAAUGACUCUUGCGAGAGUAGCUGAGUGUACCAAUAGAAUAAGCCACGGCUAACUACGUGCCAGCAGCCGCGGUAAUACGUAGGUGGCAAGCGUUGUCCGGAUUUAUUGGGUUUAAAGGGUGCGUAGGCGGCUUUUUAAGGGAGUGGUGAAAGCCGAUCGCUUAACGGUCGAACUGCCAUUGAUACUGAGAGGCUUGAGUAGAGUUGAGGUAGGCGGAAUUGACAGUGUAGCGGUGAAAUGCAUAGGUAUUGUCAAGACCACCAAUUGCGAAGGCAGCUUACUAAAGUAUAACUGACGCUGGGGCACGAAAGUGCGGGGAUCAAACAGGAUUAGA
rnacentral:rRNA from 1 species